GUGAAUCAAAUUAUCAUCAGCCAACCUCAAGAAGUUCCUGCUCCACUGUUGAAGGCUCUAGAGAAAGAUGCCAAGAAUCUUCAGAAGUCUCUCAGUUCUGUGAGUGGCACUUGGAAUUCCAGGUUACUCCACUUCCAGAAUGCUGUGGAAAUAGAAAAGGUAGCAUUUUGCUUUUAUUCAUAAAAGCUCACAAAGUCUGGGUGGCUGGGAGAUUUUCAUAAUGUGAUUUGCCAUUUAUUUCUUAAAGUGUUAAAUCAGCACACACAGCUAGAAGGCAGACUUCAAGAUCUGAGAGCCUGGGUUGUCAAUACCAUUCUUAUUCUGAACAGCAAGGCAUCUAACAGUGAAACAGAUGUUGACAGCCUGAACCGCUGUCUCCGACAAUAUGAGCCCAUGGCUGAAAGGAAAUCUCAGCUGGAUGCUCUUGCUUUUGAUGUUCAGUUCUUUAUCUCGGAACAUGCCCAGGACUUGUCCCCUCAGCAGAAUCGACAGAUGCUGAGGCUUCUGAAUGAACUGCAGAGGUCCUUCCAGGAAAUUUUGGAACAGACUGCAGCUCAGGUGGAUGCCUUGCAGGGCCAUCUUCAACAGAUGGAGCAGGAGGCCCUGGUGAAGACCCUGCAGAAACAACAAAAUACCUGUCACCAGCAACUGGAGGAUCUUUGCAGUUGGGUAGGACAGGCAGAAAGAGCACUGGCAGGCCACCAAGGCAGAACCACCCGGCAGGAUCUCUCUGCUUUGCAGAAGAACCAAAGUGACUUGAAGGAUGACAUUCAGAAUCAUGCCACCUCAUUUGCCGUUGUUGUCAAGGACAUUGAGGGGUUCAUGGAAGAGAAUCAGACCAAGAUGAGCCCACAUGAGUUGACAGCUCUUCGGGAAAAGCUUCAUCAGGCUAAGGAGCAAUAUGAGGCGCUCUGGGAACAGACACGGGUGGCCCAGAAGGAGCUGGAGGAAGCAGUGACCUCUGCCUUACAGCAGAAGACUGAAAAGGUAAUAAACUGCUAUGACACUUGAUGGUUUUCAAAAAAGAAUUUUGGUAC
rnacentral:lncRNA from 1 species